rnacentral:rRNA from 1 species
AUGGUGGCGGACCAGACCGACCUCUCCCUCUCCCUCUCCCUGGUUCCUACCGCCACGCCGGCGCUCAACAAGGACGACUACCUUGCCAUCUGCCUCGCCGCGCUCGCCGCCACCGGCAAGGAGCAGCAGGCGAGCGCGUGGAACCCGUCCCCCGCGCCGGCUCAGGAGCUGCGGUUCAGCUGCGCGGUCUGCGGGGAGGCGUUCACGUCAUACCAGGCGCUCGACAGGCACAAGUCCAGCCACCGCAAGCCUCUGCCCACCGGAGAGCGCCGCAUCACCGCGCAGGCGUCCGCAGGUGGUGGGUCGGAGACGAGCGCGGCGGCGUCCUGGGGCGGGAGCAGCGGCGGCCCGCAUCAGUGCACCGUCUGCGGGCGGGGCUUCACGACCGGGCAGGCGCUCGGAGGGCACAAGCGCUGCCACUACUGGGACGGCACCUUCGUGUCCAUGACCAUGUCCGUCUCCGUGUCGGCGUCCUCCGCUGUGCUGAGGAACUUCGACCUGAACCUGCUGCCGAUGCCGGAGAAUGCAGGGGUUUUGUUUCAGUUAAAUUGA